rnacentral:ncRNA from 1 species
AUUAAGUUUGGCUCUGGCUUAUAUUAUAAGUAAACCUUUAUAAAAUACAUGGUUUUUUAUGAACAAGGCAAAGCCCAAAUAACUUUCGCUAUAGUUUAAAACUAUAAAGAUAAGUUGUUUUAGGGAUCAUUAUUUUAUACAUAAUGGCAUUAGUUUUGCUUACCCAGUAUUGAAGAUUAAAAAUAAAAGAAAUUUAGAUUUAGUAAUAGGUUUGAUUAUUCUUGGCUAAGUCUGUGCCAGCAGCUGCGGUUACACAGACAAGGAGACUUAUAAACGAAUCGGUAAAAAGGACAGUUAUAAGUUCACAAAAGUUAAAUCAUUCCAUGAAGAGGUAGAAUUCACACAUGGUUUAUUUUCCAUAAAACUUUAAAUUUAGAAGCUGUGAAAUUACUAACCAAAACCAGGAUUAGAUACCCUGCUAUUAGUAAUGUAAAUUUUUUUAUACCACCAGGGAAUUACAGAGUUCUCUCUGAAACCCAAAGAGCUUGGCGGUACCUCAAACCCCAUUAGGGGAACCUGUUCCGUAAUCGAUAAUCCGCGUAGGACCUUACUUUUCUUUAAUUAGUUUGUAUACCGUCGUCGUCAGACAACUUUUAAGAAACUAAUAGUUCUCUAUAAUAAAUUAUUUAUAGACGUCAGAUCAAGGUGCAGCCAAUAGAAAAGAGAGAAAUGGGUUACAAUUUUUAACUUAAAAUAAUGGAUCUAGGGAUGAAAUAACCUAAGGAAGGCGGACUUAAAAGUAAUCUCAGUUAGAAUAAAGAGAUGAAUAUGGCUCUGAGGUGUGCACACAUCGCCCGUCGCUCUCGCUGAAAAGUGAGAUAAGUCGUAACAUAGUAAGAGUAAUGGAAGUUGCUCUUAGUUGAAU